GAUGAACGCUGGCGGCGUGCCUAAUACAUGCAAGUCGAGCGAACAGACGAGAGUGCUUGCACUCUCUGACGUUAGCGGCGGACGGGUGAGUAACACGUGGGUAACCUACCUAUAAGACUGGGAUAACUUCGGGAAACCGGAGCUAAUACCGGAUAAUAUUUAGCUUCGCAUGAAGCAAUAGUGAAAGACGGUUCUGCUGUCACUUAUAGAUGGACCCGCGGUGUAUUAGCUAGUUGGUGAGGUAACGGCUCACCAAGGCAACGAUACAUAGCCGACCUGAGAGGGUGAUCGGCCACACUGGGACUGAGCCACGGCCCAGACUCCUACGGGAGGCAGCAGUAGGGAAUCUUCCGCAAUGGACGAAAGUCUGACAGAGCAAUGCCGCGUGAGUGAAGAAGGUUUUCGGAUCGUAAAACUCUGUUGUAAGGGAAGAACAAGUACGUUAGUAACUGAACGUACCUUGACGGUACCUUACCAGAAAGCCACGGCUAACUACGUG
rnacentral:rRNA from 1 species